UACGAAGGGGGCUAGCGUUGCUCGGAAUCACUGGGCGUAAAGGGUGCGUAGGCGGGUCUUUUAAGUCAGGGGUGAAAUCCUGGAGCUCAACUCCAGAACUGCCUUUGAUACUGAGGAUCUUGAGUUCGGGAGAGGUGAGUGGAACUGCGAGUGUAGAGGUGAAAUUCGUAGAUAUUCGCAAGAACACCAGUGGCGAAGGCGGCUCACUGGCCCGAUACUGACGCUGAGGCACGAAAGCGUGGGGGAGCAAAUAGG
rnacentral:rRNA from 1 species